rnacentral:sRNA from 1 species
GCUGGGCAUGAUAGCACAUGCCUGUAAUCCCAGGUACUCAGGAGUCUGAGGCAGGAGAAUCCCCAGUUCAAGGUCAGCUCAGGUGACUUAGUGAAACCCUGUCUCAA